rnacentral:rRNA from 1 species
CAGUAGCCGCGGUAACACAGAGGGUGCGAGCGUUAAUCGGAUUUACUGGGCGUAAAGCGUGCGUAGGCGGCUUUUUAAGUCGGAUGUGAAAUCCCUGAGCUUAACUUAGGAAUUGCAUUCGAUACUGGGAAGCUAGAGUAUGGGAGAGGAUGGUAGAAUUCCAGGUGUAGCGGUGAAAUGCGUAGAGAUCUGGAGGAAUACCGAUGGCGAAGGCAGCCAUCUGGCCUAAUACUGACGCUGAGGUACGAAAGCAUGGGGAGCAAACAGGAUUAGAUACCCCAGUAGUCCCUGUCUCUUAUCC